GCUUUUAAAGGAAAACAGAUAUCCAUUGGCCUUAGGAGCCGACAUCUCUUGGUGCAAAUCCAAGUGAAAGCU
rnacentral:tRNA from 1 species